rnacentral:rRNA from 1 species
GGUAGAGUAACGCGUGAGUAACCUGCCUUACACAAGGGGAUAGCCUUUGGAAACGAAGAAUAAUACCCUAUAAAACCAUAAAAGCACAUGCUAGAAUGGUCAAAGUGCUAGCGGUGUAAGAUGGACUUGCGUCUGAUUAGCUAGUUGGUGAGAUAAAAGCUCACCAAGGCAACGAUCAGUAGCCGGCUUGAGAGAGUGUACGGCCACAUUGGGACUGAGACACGGCCCAG